rnacentral:rRNA from 1 species
CCCUUAGAUGUUCUGGGCCGCACGCGCGCUACAAUGAUGAAUUCAACGAGUUUAUAACCUUGGUUGAAAAGCCUGGGUAAUCUUUUGAACUUUCGUCGUGAUGGGGCUAGACCCUUGCAAUUAUUGGUCUCCAACGAGGAAUUCCUAGUAAACGCAAGUCAUCAGCUUGCAUUGAUUACGUCCCUGCCCUUUGUACACACCGCCCGUCGCACCUACCGAUUGAAUGGUCCGGUGAAAUCUUCGGAUUGAGACUUUGAUUUCUUCACGGAAAACGCUGUUUUAAGAAGUUGAUUAAACCUUACCAUUUAGAGGAAGGUGAANUCGUAACA